GACGUAGGUGGCGAACGUUAUCCGGAAUUAUUGGGCGUAAAGGGUGCGUAGAUGGUCUGAUAAGUUAGCAGUGGUAAAUCGAGGCCCAACCUCGUGGAAGCUGGUAAUACUGUCAGGCUUGAGUUCAGGAGAGGUUAACGGAACUCCACAUGGAGCGGUAAAAUGCGAAGAUAUGUGGAUGAACACCAAUAACGGCGAAGGCAGUUAACUAUUCUGUUACUGACAUUGAGGCACGAAAGCGUGGGGAGCAAAACGG
rnacentral:rRNA from 1 species